rnacentral:tRNA from 1 species
GCUGGGGAUAUAGCUCAGUUGGUAGAGUGUUUGCCUUGCAUGCACAAGGCCGUGGGUUCGUUCAAUCCUCAGCA